GUUACUUGUAAGAGACUGAAUACCUGGUCACUAGCAGAACCUCUGGAAGAAGACGACGACGAAGACCAAGAUCUGGGAGGAGGGCUCUCAAGUAAUCUUAAUCGAAUCCAUGAUCUACCAGAAUACUGUUGGUCCUAUGUUCAGGACUGUUGAUGGGGAAUUCCCCAAGAGGAGUCUAAGAGCAGAGGAGGUGAUCGAUAAGGAUCUGCAGGUUUUUUCCUUUUUCACCUCAACACGUUGCCUAUUACUUUGUCCUGAUAGAUAAAGAAAAGAGUGCACGGCUGGUAUGGGAGUCUAAGAGCACAAGGAGACCAUAAUGCAAUUGGGACUUGGGAAAUGUUGGUUGAUGUCUGUGUUCAUAACCAAAGCGUGAAGCUGGUUCGGGUGGCUGAAGGAGUGCACAGUUCAGAUGCGUUUUUAAAGAGCCCGGAGCGACGCCUUAAGAAGAUAACCUGGAGUGUAGUUUCAUUUGUCAUCUUCACUAGUCCAGUUUUUGGCGACCUUUCUUCUUUUUUAGCUUCCAUGACUUACAACUGCAAACUAGUUACAUAAACUUUUUUGAUUAUUUAUUUAUUUAUUUUUAUGUUUUUUUUUUUUUUAUAUCUCCAC